AAGAACUCUCCGGCUCGGUACGACGAUCGGACCUGCAAAUGGUAAGAACAUUUUCUUAAAGUUUGCAAUUAUGCGGGAGAGGAAGAGUACUAACCAGUGGACCACUUGCGACGUAUCGAAACCCGACGACUGACUCCCCGUAUUCUUUCCAGAAGUCGAACUUCUCCGGAGUUAUGUACUCUUUCACCGUGAGGUGCACAGGAGUUGGCUGUCGGGAAGAUCGUUCGUAAGCUAAGGUAAACAAGCAUACUCGUCACUUCAUUGCUAUCACUUACUUGUAAGUACUGGCCAAAGGUAACGAUGUCAACUCCCGCAGCUUUGAGAUCGUCCAGAGCUUGUUUGAUCUCGUCAUCCUUCUCGCCAAGCCCCAGCAUGAUCGACGACUUUGUAAUGAGGCCAUCUUUCGAUGCCUUGGCGAGUUUCAACACUCCCAAGCUCUGCUCAUACCUGCAUCAACAAUGCCCGCGCUCAUGGAUCCAGUAAGAAAGAACGGAAAAAAGGUAUGGAGUUUUCGUUUUCUUACCCGGCUCUUGGAUCACGAACUAUUCUUUGCAGCCGCUUCACAGUCUCGAUGUUGUGAGCGAAAACGUCCAGACCGCAAGUAGCCACCGUUGUCACGGCCUCCGGAUCGCCUCGAAAAUCCGACACCAAGCAUUCUACCAGAAUCUCGGGCUUAAGUUCCUGGAAGAACAAAACAAGAGGUCUUGUCUUUCUCCAAGCAAAAACAAACUUUCUUCUGAUACCUUGAGCGUUCUUACAGUCCGAGCAAAAUGGCCGCUGCC
rnacentral:lncRNA from 1 species